CUCCGGCCUGACUCUAUGGUUGUGCGAAGAUGACCCUGGAAGAAGGCGGCGGGGCUGUCGCGAGGCUGGGGGCGCCGCUGCCGAAUUCAUCUGGCUAUAACUGGUGGCUGUAAGGUACUGAGCAUUUCUGCUUGUGAUGGCAGAGGAUCAAGAGCUGACUCAGCCAUGCAAGACUCCCCUGGAGCCCUCCCUCCAGCAGUGCACCAGCAACACUUACCGCAGUGCAGAGCACUCCCAGUCCUUACUCAGUGGCCUGGUAGCUCUCCGAGAUAGUGGCAUCCUUUUUGAUGUAGUCCUGGUAGUGGAAGGGAAACCUAUCGAAGCUCAUCGGAUACUUCUAGCUGCAUCAUGUGACUAUUUCAGAGGAAUGUUUGCUGGUGGUCUAAGAGAGAUGGAACAGGAAGAGAUUCGUAUUCAUGGAGUCUCCUUCAAUGCUAUGUGUAAAAUCCUGAACUUCAUAUACACCUCUGAACUGGAACUCAGCCUGAACAAUGUACAAGAAACGCUAACUGCUGCCUGCCAACUUCAGAUUCCAGAAGUCAUUAAGUUCUGUUGUGAUUUUCUCAUGUCCUGGGUGGAUGAAGAGAACAUCCUGGAUGUAUACAAAUUAGCGGACCUCUUUGACUUGAAUCAGUUGAGUGAGCAGCUGGACUCCUAUAUUCUCAAGAACUUUGUAGCUUUCUCAAAGACAGAGAUAUACCGCCAGCUACCCCUGGAGAAGGUCUACUCCCUACUGAGCAGCAACCUCUUGGAGGUCAACUGUGAGAAUGAGGUUUAUGAAGGGGCGCUUCUGUACCAUUACACCCUAGAACAGGUAGAGACAGAUCAGGUCUCACUGAUGGAGCCUCCUAAGCUACUGGAAACAGUCCGCUUCCCCCUGAUGGAGCUCCAGAUCCUGCAAAGGCUCCAUGACAAAUUAAGCCCAUGUCCAUUAAGAGAGACUGUAGCCGAUGCACUAAUGUACCACAAGAAUGAAUGUCUUCAGCCCAUGCUUCAAAGCUCACAGACACAGGUGAGAUCAGAGUUCCACUGUGUAGUGGGCUUUGGAGGGAUGCAUUCUACUCCAUCCACAGCCCUCAGCGACCAAGCCAAGUACUUGAACCCCGUAUUGGGAGAGUGGAGGCACUUUACUGCUGCAUUAGCCCCCAGAAUGUCCAACCAAGGAAUCGCUGUUUUCAACAACUUUGUAUACUUGAUUGGGGGAGAUAACAACGUGCGAGGUUUUCGAGCAGAGUCCAGGUGUUGGAGGUACGACCCACGACACAACAAAUGGUUCCAGAUCCAGUCCCUGCAGCAAGAGCAUGCUGACCUCUGUGUCUGUGUUGUGGACAAAUAUAUAUAUGCUGUCGCAGGGCGAGACUAUCAUGAAGACCUAAGGGAGGUAGAGAGGUAUGAUCCAAAAACCAACACGUGGGAAUACAUGGCACCGCUGAGGAAGGAGGUGUACGCACAUGCUGGAGCACCAUUGGAUGGAAAGAUGUAUAUUACAUGUGGGAGGAGAGGAGAUGAUUAUUUGAAGGAACUACACUGUUACGAUCCAGGGGCUGAUCGCUGGGACAGCUUAGCUGAUGGUCCAGUCAGACGUGCCUGGCAUGGAAUGGCUGCACUCCUGGGAAAGCUGUACGUGAUUGGAGGUAGCAACAAUGACUCUGGCUAUAGGAGAGAUGUUCACCAGGUACCGGCCGCUGCGACUGGCUACCUUCCUCCUGGCUCGAGAAGAGCUCCUGGCUGCAUGGCUCCAGGGAUUCCGGGGUGUCUCCAUCCGGCCCACCACCAUCACUCCCGUUUUCCUCCUCCUCUUCCUCCUCUCCCCCUCCCCCCGCCAUCGGCUCUGAAGUGUCCAUGGUGGUGCUCGGAGGGGAGAUGGGGUUAAACCCUAGUAUCGCAUCCAGCUCUUUGUAGAAUCGGCAGGUCGCGGGGGGAGCACUCGAGCGGCCGUUUGCGUCGCGGGCUUUGCGGUAGGCACUCCGCAGCUCCCUCACUUUAAUCCUGCACGGUCAUGGCCCCUUUCCAUUAUGUCCUUUGAGAUCUUCCUGAAGGUAUCGUAAUUCCUACGGCUGGAGUGCAGCUGGGACUGUACAGCUUCUUCCCACCAAACACUGAUGAGGUCCAGCAACUUGCCAUUGCUCCAUGCUGGGGCUUGCUUGGCGCAUGGAGGCAUGGUCACCUGGAAAGAUUCGCUGAUAACACUCCACCCCACGCCGGGCUGAACAAACGGGAAGGGGAUUUUUAAAAUUCCCGGGGAAUGUAAAGGGUGUGUCACAUGGUUGGUUACCUGAGGCCAGGGCAGUAGACUUUGAACUGAUGACCAGAGUGGCCAGAACAGGCAUUGUGGGAUACUGCCGAAUAAUUCUGGUGGCCAUUCCCAGAGCAUUGGGCGGCCACACUGGUGCCGCAGCGCUGCAGCAGCAGCGCAAUACUUGCUAUUCCUCUCGGAGUGGUGGAGUACGUGCAAUGCUGCAACCACGGAGAUACAGCGCUGCAAAUGCCUUGCCAGUGUGGACGGAGAGUGAGUUACAGCGCUGGGGGGGAGCCUUUACAGCGCUGUAACUCGCAAAUGUAGCCAAGGCCUUAGUCCUUUUGGCUUCUUUUAAUUAAAAAAAAAAAAUCGGUGGUGGACAUUCAACUGGGCAGUGCCUUGGCAAUAGCAACUAAGCGCUCUGGGUAUUUUCCAGCAAGGCAAAUCUAAAUUCUGUAGCACUCUGGUUUGGCAGACUAGAAACUCUGCAGCAGCUUAAUUAAAACUAAAAGAAUUGUUAUGUUUUUAAACGAAUAAUAUGAAAUUAAGUCAAUUAUCAUUCAAUAGUUUUGAUUUUAAUUCAAUUUUACACUAUCCCCACACUUUUUGAUUUUUUGAUAUGUCAAGUGCGUUGGUACUAAAUGCAUAACUGUUUCAGAGACAGUGUCUUGAGGAAGGUGGAGGUGUUAGCACUUGAUUGGGAGCAAUUGCGUUUUAGCAUUUGUGGUGGCAUAGAAUUGAGACACAUUUGUUAGAUAUUUCUACUAAAAUGAAUCAGUAGUGAAAAAGUUAGCAAUGUUGGGAUUGAUCUUUGACAUUUACACAUAAUACCCAUUGUGUCAUAAUAUUGUACAACUAUGUAAUAAUAAUAUUGUACACAAUGGCAGACACCCAUUCCAUGUAGAAAUUUUUAAUGUUUCUUAAAGGAAUAAGUUGCCUUGCCUCUUUUAUUUCUUUAUAUUCUUACAGGUUGCCUGCUACAGCACAAGUACUGAUCAAUGGGCAAAUGUGUGCCCUCUACCUGCAGGGCACGGAGAGCCAGGCAGAGGUUUUUGUCCUUUGAAG